UUAGAGAUGAUGUUUGGAAAUGCAAUUAAACUGGGUACAUGUAUUGCUCGUAACACUGGUGGUGUGAGUUCAGCUUACCUGGAGGUGGCCUUCUAGACUAACAGGUUUUUCCGUUGUUACGUUUGUUCCUAUGGAAACUGGCCUCUCUUGCAUUCUCUCUCUCUUUUUAUCACUUUAGAAACAGGUUACAGAAGCAAUGGCCAAGAGGAAACAUAAAAUAUUCAUACAGCCACUACUUAGGAGCUUCAGCUAACAUACUUACAGGUGUAUAUUUUCCCUUAAAGGUUAUGCACACACAUGCACAAACCCCCAUGGCAUCUAUAUAUUUCUAGCAAUCCAGACCACAAAGCUGAAAGAAUUCUCUCUGACUUGGUAAUGAAACAGUUCAGUGAUGAUGCUGCAAGAUCUGUCAAGGCAUGUGUGGAAGUGGACCCAAGCAGCAUUAACAGAACUGAAAGAUGAUGGUGACUUCUUGGAGGCAGAAAUGGAAGUUCAGAUAGAUCAAAGGAUAAUUGAUUUACACUGCAGGGAAGUUGCAGACCUGGGACUUGAAUCCAAAUCUUGUGACUGUAUCUCAAGCCUUUAUUCACUCUACAAGAUUGCCUCUAACCUGGAGUUAUCAUCUGAUUUUAAAAUAUAGCUACAAACAUAUAUACAAUAUCUCCCACAAAUUUCAGGUCAUAAGUUUGACAAAUCCAAUUAAUUUUAAAUGUAUAGAGUUAGAAAAGACUAAUUUCCUGAAAGAUCACUUUGCUUAUUUAUUACAUAGUGAAAGUAUCACAGAUGUGCUAGGGUGCUGUUUAAAAUAGCCAUAGCAAAGGCUUAUUAAGCUUACUGUUAACAAGACAGUCUGUUGUGGUUCCCCCAUAGCCUAUGUAUGUCUUUGUUGAAUAUGUUUAACUGCAAGACCUAAGUGUCUUCUGAUCCAGAACCAUUUACUUAAUUUUUCAUGUAGGGUCUCAAGCAGUUCGAGGUGACUAGAACAUGAAUACCUAGGUCCUGCUUGCUCCCUGCUGGAGGGGAAAAUGGCUUGUUUACUGCUUGCUACAAAUUGUGCUGAACUCCUAGUCCUGGGUUCCCCAGCUGUAAUCACCAUCUGGGCCCACUGUUUUACCUCACAGGACUUGGGGGAAUUUGUUCUACUAUUUGAUGCUCCUGAUGUUUGCUGUGAUGUGAGUAAUAAAUUGUUCUCUGAUCCAAUGUGUCUUGUCUACUCUUGGGAUGUGUGCAACUGUCACAAGUCAAUUUUUUUGCUUAGUCUUCUCUUUUGGAGUCUUGCUACUCUUUGCUCUUCUCUAUGAGAUUGAGGGCUCUUCCCUGACACUUUCCUUUAUUCCCAGCAAUUAUCUAGGCACAUGGUAUUUUGGUUCUUACUUUACAAAUAAGGAAAUUGAGAGACUUAGUACAAAGUAGAAAGUGACAGAACUGAAAUGAAAAUAUGGUGGAUGUUCUCUCUUAAUCAUUACUUUUGAAAGAACAACAACAACAACAACAACAAAAUAGCAAACCUUGAGCUAGGUUCUGACAUUUUUUGAAUAAAUUCCAAGGAUCACCACAUCUGAUAGAAUUGAGAUGCCAUUUCAUUUGUUUUGAAAGUUGCUACUGUUGAUCAAAUCUGAACUCCAUAAUUAUUGCAAUUAUUGUAUUUUCUUCUGGCAGGAUUAGAAUAUAUGAUUCAUUUGUGCGGUAUGCUAGCAGCAAUACUGGUCUUCCUUCAGUGGAGAGGAAAGACUGUGAAGCUAGAAUAGAAAGUAUGGAAAGCACAGUCAAGUUUGUAGCUUUUAGAGGAUAAGGUUGAAGGAUCUUAUCCUAUCUAGAGGAUAAGAUUGAGAAGACUAAUGCCACAAGGAGUUCCUGGAGAUUCCAUUCAGCUCUAAUCCUAGAGCUGGAACCCAGGUAUUGGACUAUCUGAUUGGGGAAAUAGGCUGUAGAAAGAGGUAGAAAGUUCAAAUAGAGCAGACAUGGUGAGGGUAUCAGGAAAAUAUGGGCUCAUUUCAACAACUGCAGCAUCCAGGCCCUGAGUAAUGGAGUUUGUGGAAAUCAGGAUUAUACCUAGCUACAUGAAUUUGGGGGCAUGCCUUUAAUUCCACUAGUGGCUUAGACUAAAAGCGGA
rnacentral:lncRNA from 1 species